rnacentral:rRNA from 1 species
UACGAAGGGGGCUAGGCGUUGCUCGGAAUCACUGGGCGUAAAGCGCACGUAGGCGGAUUGUUAAGUCAGGGGUGAAAUCCUGGAGCUCAACUCCAGAACUGCCUUUGAUACUGGCGAUCUCGAGUCCGGGAGAGGUGAGUGGAACUGCGAGUGUAGAGGUGAAAUUCGUAGAUAUUCGCAAGAACACCAGUGGCGAAGGCGGCUCACUGGCCCGGUACUGACGCUGAGGUGCGAAAAGCGUGGGGAGCAAACAGG